rnacentral:rRNA from 1 species
UUUGGAACGGCUGCUGCCUACCAUGCAGUCGAGCGCUGAUAAGGUGCUUGCACCUUUGAUGAGUGGCGGACGGGUGAGUAAUGCCUAGGAAUCUGCCUGUUAGUGGGGGACAACGUGGGGAAACUCACGCUAAUACCGCAUACGAUCUACGGAUGAAAGUGGGGGAUCUUCGGGCCUUGCGCUAUUAGAUGAGCCUAUGUCGGAUUAGCUAGUUGGUGGGGUAAAGGCCUACCAAGGCGACGAUCCGUAACUGGUCUGAGAGGAUGAUCAGCCACACUGGGACUGAGACACGGCCCAGACUCCUACGGGAGGCAGCAGUGGGGAAUAUUGGACAAUGGGCGAAAGCCUGAUCCAGCCAUACCGCGUGUGUGAAGAAGGCCUGAGGAUUGUAAAGCACUUUCAAUGGGAAGGAACACCUAUCGGUUAAUACCCGGUAGACUGACCUUACCCAUACAAGAAGCACCGGCUAACUCCCUGCCCACAGCCGCGGUAAUACCGAGGGUGCAAGCGUUAAUCCGAAUUACUGGGCGUAAAGCGUGCGUAAGCGGUUGUUUAAGUCAGAUGUGAAAGCCCCGGGCUUAACCUGGGAACUGCAUUUGAUACUGGGCGACUAGAGUUGAGUAGAAGGGAGUGGAAUUUCCCGUGUAGCGGUGAAAUGCGUAGAGAUCUGAAGGAACACCAGUGGCGAAAGCCGCUCCCUGGACUCGACUGACGCUGAAGUACCAAAGCGUGGGUAGCAAACAGGAUUAGAUACCCUGGUAGUCCACGCCGUAAACGAUGUCAACUAACUGUUGGGUUCUUUUAGAGCUUUGUAGUGGAGCUAACGUAUUAAGUUGACCGCCUGGGGGAGUACACGGCGCAAAGCUAAAAACUCAAAUGAGAUUGACAGGGGGGCCCGCACACAGCGGUGGGAGCAUGUGGGUUAAUUCCGAUGACAACCGCCGGAAGAACCCUUACCUACGCCCUGACAUUCGUCCGGAAACAUG